rnacentral:rRNA from 1 species
UAAGGGGGGUGAAGUCGUAACAAGGUAGCCGUACCGGAAGGUGCGGCUGGAUCACCUCCUUUCUA